rnacentral:lncRNA from 1 species
CAUCCAGCAACAAGGAUCCAUCCCCCAUACUUCUAUCCAUCUUUUGUUUUGUUUUAUCUUGCAUCAUAUAGUUCUAGAUUUUUCCAUUCAUUAUAAAAAUCCAUAAAAAGUCAUAUUUGCUUCUGUUCUUCAUUAAUCAUAUUGUUUACUUUCUGUUCAUUAUUUGGUUCAUAAAAACUCAUAAAAAAAUAGCAUCCUUUUGUUUCAGGAACCAGAUCGGCCAUCUCCCACUCCAUCGCGUCCGUCUAGCCAUCCCAUAGCCGUCCGUCCGUCCUGUCCGGUCCGAGUUCUCGAACCUCAGACCGUCCGUCCGUGCAGACUGAUUCCCAGCCUGUAUCAACACGGACACACACGAACAGCCACGGACGUCCUGUGUGUGCUGG